rnacentral:rRNA from 1 species
UACGUAGGGUGCAAGCGUUGUCCGGAAUUAUUGGGCGUAAAGAGCUCGUAGGCGGUUCGUCGCGUCGGCUGUGAAAACCUGAGGCUCAACCUCAGGCCUGCAGUCGAUACGGGCGGACUUGAGUACUGCAGGGGAGACUGGAAUUCCUGGUGUAGCGGUGAAAUGCGCAGAUAUCAGGAGGAACACCGGUGGCGAAGGCGAUCAUCUGGGGUUGUUCUGACACUGAGGAGCGAAAGCUAGGGGAGCAAACGGG